rnacentral:rRNA from 1 species
AAUGAACGUUGGCGGCAGGCCUAACACAUGCAAGUCGAACGAAAAGUAAACUUCGGUUUAUAGAUUCGUGGCGGACGGGUGAGUAUAAUGUAGGCAACCUGCCCAGCACUGGGGGAUAACAGUUGGAAACGACUGAUAAUACCGCAUACGCCAUAUUGGGAAAGCUCCGGCGGUGUUGGAUGGGCUUACACUUGAUUAGCUAGUUGGUGAGGUAAUGGCUCACCAAGGCGACGAUCAAUAGCUGGUUUGAGAGGAUGAUCAGCCACACUGGAACUGAGACACGGUCCAG